UACGGAGGGGGCUAGCGUUGUUCGGAAUUACUGGGCGUAAAGCGCGCGUAGGCGGACCUGCAAGUCGGGGGUGAAAGCCCGAGGCUCAACCUCGGAACUGCCUUCGAUACUGCGGGUCUCGAGUCCGGGAGAGGUGAGUGGAAUUCCUAGUGUAGAGGUGAAAUUCGUAGAUAUUCGCAAGAACACCAGUGGCGAAGGCGGCUCACUGGCCCGGUACUGACGCUGAGAUACGAAAGCGUGGGGAGCAAACAGG
rnacentral:rRNA from 1 species